GGAUGUGAGGACAAUGUGGCUGCGACAUCUGUCACCCCACUGAUCGCCAGGGUUGAUUCGGCUGAUCUGGCUGGCUAGGCGGGUGUCCCCUUCCUCCCUCAACGCUCCCCGUGCGUCCCUCCUGAAGCUGCGUGCACAGUCGAAGAGGACUACCUUCCUUGAUAGAGGAGGACCAGUCUUCCGUCAAGGGUAUACGAGUAGCUAUGCUCCCCUGCUAGAACCGCCAAACAAGCUCUCAAAGUCAAAGUAGACCCUCCUAACAAACAAUGGAGGACACCCAAUGAGAUCAAAGGGGCCUGCCAGUCAUGGAGCACCCUGCCAGAUCAAAUUU
rnacentral:snRNA from 1 species